rnacentral:rRNA from 1 species
CCUACGAGGUGCAGCAGUAGGGAAUAUUGCUCAAUGGGGGCAACCCUGAAGCAGCAACGCCGCGUGGAGGAUGAAGGUUUUCGGAUUGUAAACUCCUUUUGGUAGAGAAGAUAAUGACGGUAUCUAACGAAUAAUCACCGGCUAACUCCGUGCCAGCAGCCGCGGUAAUACGGAGGGUGCAAGCGUUACUCGGAAUCACUGGGCGUAAGGAGCGCGUAGGCGGGUUAACAAGUUAGAUGUGAAGUCCCAUGGCUUAACCAUAGAAUUGCAUUUGAAACUGGUAUUCUAGAGUGUGGGAGAGGUAGGUGGAAUUCUUGGUGUAGGGGUAAAAUCCGUAGAGAUCAGGAGGAAUACCCAUUGCGAAGGCGACCUGCUAGAACAUAACUGACGCUGAUGCGCGAAAGCGUGGGGAGCAAACAGGAUUAGAUACCCGAGUAGGC